CCGACAUGACGACCGAGGCCCGACGCCGGCCGUGACCGCCGCGGCGGAGGCCGAGGGGCGUCUCACCGGCUCCCAGGCAACGGGCCGCCUCUGUCGCGACGUCUACGGCGGGCGCCGAGAUCCAAGCUUCCUGAGCGGCCAAGCUGUGUGAAAACCUUGGAGCUAGGAGCACAGGACAGCCUCUAGGAGCUCGGAGAACCAGCAAGAAAACAAACUCCAGCCAUCUAACCAUGAGGAACUGAAUUCUGCUAACUGAAAUGAGCCUGGAAUGGAACCCCAAGCCUCAGAUGAGAUCACGUCCUGCUGACCCCUUGAUUUCAGGUGUGCUCUUCAGUGAAUUUUGACAAGUGUAUGCAUCCAUGUAACCACUCCCAUAAUGAAGCUACAGAACAUUUCUCUCACUCUGAAAAGUUUCCUUGUGCCCCUUUGCAGUCAACUCCAGAUCUGGGAAAUCACUUGUUUGCUUUCUAUUACUGUAGAUUGUUUUUCUUUGUCAUUAUUUUAUUAUGUAAAAUAAUUAUGUAAAAUUUGCCAUACUGUAAACUAAUUUUGAAUGUUCUAGAAUUUUAUAUAAAUGGUAUAAUAAAUCACACAUAUAUACUA